rnacentral:lncRNA from 1 species
GUUAAAGUCUGGAUUGUCCUGUGGGGCUUCCGUGGACAGUUUCCCGAGGAUAUGUGGGAAUAUGGCGGCACCCGCCUUCCGGGAUCAGAAAAUGACCUGUGGUGGAAACGUCUGGGACUGGUCAGCAUGGGAGCCUGUACCAUGACUAGUGUGGAACUGGAACUAACUGUCCAGAGCAUCCAGCCAGGCAAUAGCAGGAUGAACUCGAGAGGAUGGUCAAAAGUCAACUCCAGGAAUGGAGGGAAUGUGGGAUGCUGCUCAGAUGCCUUUUAACUUCUGGUUGAAAAAUGGAUCUGAAGGGCCAGCAAGCCUCCUCAGGGGUGUCUGCGGAAUCUCUCUGGAAACCCGACCUCAUCAACCGUGCUGUGAAGCAAGAGGCAACCCAGGACUUCAGGCUUUUCCUUCUCCUGAGCAACUUUCUGUUCUGGCCAACUCAGACACUGCGCAUGGAGGCUGCCAGGGCUCAGGCCUCAGUACUCAUCAGGACUCUUUACCAUUUGUCAAUGGUGCAGGCUGGAGGGGGCCUGCUAACCGGCAGUGCCAGAGACAUCUCUCUCUUUCUUGGCCUAUGUAAAGUCAUUUCUUUUGUAUGUGGUGAUUUAUUCAUUGAAUUGCGGGUGAAGACAUUUAACAAGGUGACAGAGGGAAUUAACAUGCUAAUUGGAAAUAUGCACUAUUCUAAGAUGUUCCUAUGGUGACUUUGAACCUUUAGUCUGAAUGGGUCCUUGUGGGUCCUGUAGUUUUCUAUUGGCACACGUUUCGUGGAGAAGGUGGCAUCACACAACCUGAAGUUCACUCACCUUAGGUUAAAUUCCACAUUUGUUUGGGAAGAGAUCCUAAAGUGUCUAUCUUUUACUCAGUACGUGGUCAUUCAUAACCUUUUGAUUUGUCACUGCCAUUGGUUAACUUACUUUUAAUCCUUGGAAGAUGAGAGUCAUUUUUAUUUUCCUCCCAAUGUAAAAUUGAGGCGUGAGAUCCAUGGAAAAGCUUUACCGCAACCCAUGUAAGGAUGGCUUAUUUCUUAGUCAAAAGCCCUUGUGAAACUUGAGGUAACUGUGAUGCU